GACGAACGCUGGCGGCGUGCUUAACACAUGCAAGUCGAACGGAAAGGCCCUGCUUUUGUGGGGUGCUCGAGUGGCGAACGGGUGAGUAACACGUGAGUAACCUGCCCUUGACUUUGGGAUAACUUCAGGAAACUGGGGCUAAUACCGGAUAGGAGCUCCUGCUGCAUGGUGGGGGUUGGAAAGUUUCGGCGGUUGGGGAUGGACUCGCGGCUUAUCAGCUUGUUGGUGGGGUAGUGGCUUACCAAGGCUUUGACGGGUAGCCGGCCUGAGAGGGUGACCGGCCACAUUGGGACUGAGAUACGGCCCAGACUCCUCCGGGAGGCAGCAGUGGGGAAUAUUGCACAAUGGGCGGAAGCCUGAUGCAGCAACGCCGCGUGCGGUAUGACGGCCUUCGGGUUGUAAACCGCUUUCGCCUGUGACGAAGCGUGAGUGACGGUAAUGGGUAAAGAAGCACCGGCUAACUACGUG
rnacentral:rRNA from 1 species